rnacentral:rRNA from 1 species
GACGAACGCUGGCGGCGUGCCUAAUACAUGCAAGUCGAACGCUUCUUUCCUCCCGAGUGCUUGCACUCAAUUGGAAAGAGGAGUGGCGGACGGGUGAGUAACACGUGGGUAACCUACCCAUCAGAGGGGGAUAACACUUGGAAACAGGUGCUAAUACCGCAUAACAGUUUAUGCCGCAUGGCAUAAGAGUGAAAGGCGCUUUCGGGUGUCGCUGAUGGAUGGACCCGCGGUGCAUUAGCUAGUUGGUGAGGUAACGGCUCACCAAGGCCACGAUGCAUAGCCGACCUGAGAGGGUGAUCGGCCACACUGGGACUGAGACACGGACCAGACUCCUACGGGAGGCAGCAGUAGGGAAUCUUCGGCAAUGGACGAAAGUCUGACCGAGCAACGCCGCGUGAGUGAAGAAGGUUUUCGGAUCGUAAAACUCUGUUGUUAGAGAAGAACAAGGACGUUAGUAACUGAACGUCCCCUGACGGUAUCUAAACAGAAAGCCACGGCUAACUACGUG